rnacentral:rRNA from 1 species
UACAGAGGUCUCAAGCGUUGUUCGGAUUCAUUGGGCGUAAAGGGUGCGUAGGUGGCGUGGCAAGUCUGAUGUGAAAUCCCGGGCUCAACCCGGAACUGCAUUGGAUACUGCCAUGCUUGAGCACUGGAGAGGAGACUGGAAUUUACGGUGUAGCAGUGAAAUGCGUAGAUAUCGAUAAGGAAGACCAGUGGCGAAGGCGAGUCUCUGGACAGUGCUGACACUGAGGCACGGAAGGC